rnacentral:rRNA from 1 species
GACGAACCGUGCGAACGUUGUUCGGAAUCACUGGGCUUAAAGGGCGCGUAGGCGGCAGAUCAAGUCCGGGGUGAAAUCCUCCAGCUCAACUGGAGAAGUGCCUUGGAUACUGAUGUGCUCGAGGGAGGUAGGGGUCCGCGGGAACUUCUGGGUGGAGCGGUAGUAAAUGCGUUGAUAUCAGAAGGAACGGCCGGUGGCGAAAGCGGCGGACUG